CCUACGGGCGGCAGCAGUGAGGAAUAUUGGUCAAUGGCCGUAAGGCUGAACCAGCCAAGUCGCGUGAAGGAAGACUGAUCUAUGGUUUGUAAACUUCUUUUAUAGGGGAAUAAAGGUAUCCACGUGUGGCUAUUUGCAUGUACCCUAUGAAUAAGCAUCGGCUAACUCCGUGCCAGCAGCCGCGGUAAUACGGAGGAUGCGAGCGUUAUCCGGAUUUAUUGGGUUUAAAGGGUGCGUAGGUUGUUUUUUAAGUCAGCGGUGAAAGUUUGUGGCUCAACCAUAAAAUUGCCGUUGAAACUGGAAGACUUGAGUGUGUUUGAGGUAGGCGGAAUGCGUGGUGUAGCGGUGAAAUGCAUAGAUAUCACGCAGAACUCCGAUUGCUAAGGCAGCUUACUAAGCCAUAACUGACACUGAAGCACGAAAGCGUGGGGAUCAAACAGGAUUAGAUACCCGGGUAGUC
rnacentral:rRNA from 1 species